AGUGAACGCUGGCGGUAGGCCUAACACAUGCAAGUCGAACGGCAGCACAGUAAGAGCUUGCUCUUACGGGUGGCGAGUGGCGGACGGGUGAGGAAUACACCGGAAUCUACUUUUUCGUGGGGGAUAACGUACGGAAACUUACGCUAAUACCGCAUACGACCUACGGGUGCAAGCAGGGGAUCUUCCGACCUUGCGCGAUUGAAUGAGCCGAUGUCGGAUUAGCUAGUUGGCGGGGUAAAGUCCCACCAAGGCGACGAUCCGUAGCUGGUCUGAGAGGAUGAUCAGGCACACUGGAACUGAGACACGGUCCAGACUCCUACGAGAGGCAGCAGUGGGGAAUAUUGGACAAUGGGCGCAAGCCUGAUCCAGCCAUACCGCGGGGGUGAAGGAGGCUUUCGGGUUGUAAAGGCCUUUUGUUGGGAAAGAAAAGCAGCAGGUUAAUACCCCGCUGUUCUGACGGUACCCAAAGAAUAAGCACAGGCUAACUGCGUG
rnacentral:rRNA from 1 species